rnacentral:lncRNA from 1 species
AAUGAACUGGGCCACGAGGUGAGUCAGAGAGGAUAAAGGGAGUGGUAAGAAUUUGAGGAGAGAAGAGAGUGAGGCUAGAAUAGGAAAUCAGGAAAUGCGAUUCGGUCCCCCUGUUCCUCACAUGGGGCCACCCUCUUGUUGCCCAGUGUGGUUUCUUCUUGAGGGUUCUGCAUGAUUCCUCAAUCCCAGGGAAUUCCACAGGACGUUCCACCCAAGACCAUUGGGCUCCCACCUCUACUCUUUUGCCAG